UCACCUAGUCAAUGGUCCUUCCUCUGUUCCCAGAGUGCAGAUGCGUGCUUGCAACAACAUAGGUGCUUGAUAACUAUGCAUGGAAUAUAAAAUCUGAAUCAGCAAAUUAGGGAAGUAUGAGAAGUUGUAGAAGAGAAGGCUGAGUUGAGGUGAUACUGAAUGGAUUCAACAGUUUCUUUACCAAACAUCUGUCGGACCUCCAUUAUGUGCCAGGCACAGUUCUAAGUUUUAGCUCAGCUAAGACAGACACAAAGCCUUGAGCUCAUGAGACUUGCAUCGGAGUGAGAGUCCCAGCAGCUGCCAUAUGUUGAGUUCUUGCUAUCUGCCGGCACAGUGGAGAACACCUGUGAUGUGAAUCCUACAGAGCGUUGUAGAAGGCAGGUGCUAUCAUCAACUUUACUUCUUCCCAGGUGUGGAAACAACUUCAGAGCAAGUUCACCUCAUGGGCCAAAUUUUCUUGUACUCCAGAAGAAUCUCCCUCAGAAACUGGAGUGGCUCAUGAUAGUAUUUCACACUAAAAAGUGCCAAUGA
rnacentral:lncRNA from 13 species